rnacentral:rRNA from 1 species
CGCGUAGGCGGCGCGGCAAGUCGAGUGUGAAAGCCCCGGGCUCAACCUGGGAGGUGCGCUUGGGACUGCCGUGCUGGAGUUCGGGAGAGGAGAGUGGAAUUCCCAGUGUAGAGGUGAAAUUCGUAGAUAUUGGGAAGAACACCGGUGGCGAAGGCGGCUCUCUGGACCGAUACUGACGCUGAGGCGCGAAAGCGUGGGGAGCAAACAGGAUUAGAUACCCUGGUAGUCCACGCUGUAAACGAUGUGUGCUAGACGUUGGGGAGCCUAGCUCUUCGGUGUCGCAGCAAACGCUUUAAGCACACCGCCUGGGGAGUACGGCCGCAAGGUUAAA